rnacentral:rRNA from 1 species
AGUGAACACUGGCGGUAGGCCUAACACAUGCAAGUCGAACGGCAGCACAGGAGAGCUUGCUCUCUGGGUGGCGAGUGGCGGACGGGUGAGGAAUACAUCGGAAUCUACUCUGUCGUGGGGGAUAACGUAGGGAAACUUCCGCUAAUACCGCAUACGACCUACGGGUGAAAGCAGGGGACCUUCGGGCCUUGCGCGAUUGAAUGAGCCGAUGUCGGAUUAGCUAGUUGGCGGGGUAAAGGCCCACCAAGGCGACGAUCCGUAGCUGGUCUGAGAGGAGGAUCAGCCACACUGGAACUGAGACACGGUCCAGACUCCUACGGGAGGCAGCAGUGGGGAAUAUUGGACAAUGGGCGCAAGCCUGAUCCAGCCAUACCGCGUGGGUGAAGAAGGCCUUCGGGUUGUAAAGCCCUUUUGUUGGGAAAGAAAUCCAGCUGGCUAAUACCCGGUUGGGAUGACGGUACCCAAAGAAUAAGCACCGGCUAACUUCGUGCCAGCAGCCGCCGUAA